rnacentral:rRNA from 1 species
UUCACGGAGAGUUUGAUCCUGGCUCAGGACGAACGCUGGCGGCGUGCUUAACACAUGCAAGUCGAACGAGAAAGCUCCUUCGGGAGUGAGUACAGUGGCGAACGGGUGAGUAACACGUGGGUAACCUGCCCCAGAGAGCGGGACAACCCGGGGAAACCCGGGCUAAUACCGCAUAAUUCGCAUCUCCUCAAGUAGGUGCGGCAAAUGGUAGCUUAGGCCUCCGCUCUGGGAUGGGCCCGCGGUCGAUUAGCUUGUUGGUGAGGUAACGGCUCACCAAGGCGACGAUCGAUAGCUGGUCUGAGAGGACGAUCAGCCACACUGGGACUGAGA